rnacentral:rRNA from 1 species
GACGAACCGUGCGAACGUUGUUCGGAAUCACUGGGCUUAAAGGGCGCGUAGGCGGGCGACCAAGUCAGGGGUGAAAGCCCACGGCUCAACCGUGGAAGUGCCUUUGAUACUGGUCGCCUCGAGGGAGGUAGGGGCGUGCGGAACUUCCGGUGGAGCGGUGAAAUGCGUAGAUAUCAGGAAGAACACCGGUGGCGAAGGCGGCUCGCUGGGCCAGUUCUGACACUCAUCCGCGAAAGCGUGGGGAGCAAACAGG